AGCUCCAAUAGCGUAUAUUAAAGUUGUUGCAGUUAAAAAGCUCGUAGUUGGAUUUCUGGCAGAGUGUCCUCCGUCCAGCAGUUCGUUUGGUUCGGAGCGCUCUACCAUCCUUCUGUUAACCUUUCCGGGAUUUACUUUUCGGACUGGGGCUCAGAUAUUUUACCUUGAGAAAAUUAGAGUGUUUCAGGCAGGCUAUUCGCCGGAAUACAUUAGCAUGGAAUAAUGGAAAAGGACUGCAACCUCUUCUGUUGGUCUGGGAGGCUGAAGUAAUGAUUAAUAGGGAUAGUUGGGGGCAUUAGUACUUUCCAGUCAGAGGUGAAAUUCUCCAAUUUGGUAAAGACUAACUUAUGCGAAAGCAUUUGCCAAGGAUGUUUUCAUUA
rnacentral:rRNA from 1 species